CUCGGUUCUGGGAAUCGUCGUCUCACUACUCUAUUUUCCCUGUCCUUCAGUUUACUGAAAUCCCCCCUCUCUAUCGCCUAUUAACAAGUAAAAAGAGAUGAGAGACGCAUCAAAGAAAAAAAAAGCUUCGAGCAAGCGUCUUCCCGUUGCCCGAGAAUACACUAUCAACCUUCAUAGACGUAUCAAUGGAAUACCCUUCAAAAAGCGUGCUCCACGCGCCAUGCGCGAAAUCCGUCGUUUUGCUCAACGCACCAUGUUUACACAUGAUGUUCGAAUUGACACAUCCGUCAACAGAUUUGUUUGGAAAAAUGGAAUUCGUUCAAUACCUCAUCGAGUUCGUGUUCGGCUAUCAAAACGCUUUAGCGAUGACCAGAAGAACAACAACUCUUCGCUGUACACACUCGUGUCACUCGUUGAUGUAACCGAUCACCGAGGCCACGUCACAACUAUUGUCAAGGAUGAGAAUAAGGAAUAAUUAAGGCGCAAUCCAUAUAAAUAAAUGAUACCGCUUACUGGA